UUCACCUAAUUUUUGGUUUGUUUAUUGUUUGUUUUACUAGAGUUGGUGUAUUUUCUUGAAAAAUAAGUCAUAGUUCUACCAGACUCUUUACAAUAUUUCAAGCUCAUUUCACUUAAGAAUUCACUGCUUCUAUAUAUUUUUAAUAAAAUUGACCCAUAGGAAUUGCUGCUGAUUUACAGUAAAUUGGUUUUGAGUCCUAGCUGUGACAUGAGUACAUGGCAGAUGAUACGGGAGAAGCUAAGUUAGUUUUCCAAAACAAUCUGAGAGACUGAGUUCUAGUAUUCCUGCCUCUCAGCUAUUCCCUUAUAAUCCAGUGAGUGUGAUGAGGAUAGCAAAUGUAGCAGGAGAAGAGACAAUCUUACCUCAUUCUUCUUAAAUCAAAAGGGAAGAUGGGAGGGAUUUCAAGCUGUUAUCACCAAGGCAUAGUUUUUUGGGAAAACAUUUUUAUCCAUGAUCUAAACCCAGAGCCAAAAUUAAAAACUUCUAAAGUAAAGAACAAAACAUCCCUUAGGAUCCUAUCAAAUGUUUUCUUGGAAUCAAAAGUGCUAAGUAAGCUUCUAUUUUGUUCCAUAGAGGGUAAUGAAUAAUAUUUAAUAACCUCCUUAUAUUGUUGUUGGCCUGCCUGUGAAGGGAUUGCCCUGACUGGUCAGUGUGGAUAAUGGAUGUCAGAAAGGUGCUAGGCUAUUUGUAUAUGCCUUGGUGAAGAUUUCACCAUCCACAUUCAAGAGCGGUAUUGGGUCUUUAUGAAGUGUGUGAUUUUACAACUUCUUUGAAAAACAGUCAUUGUUACUUCAUUUAGGACAGUCAGAAGAAAUAAUUUGGAAGGCUGUCUAUGAGGUGGUCAUAGGGGUUAAGCAGUUUCUUUAACUGGCAGAGUAGCCUAUUCCAAGAAGAUUUCCCCCUGUUAAGAUUGGGUUCCGUUUCAGAGGGGUUGAGGCACUUCACCUCAGCAUGUGCGCUCCUGCACUCCCUCCACUCUCCUGCUGCACUGCAAUAUUUGCUGCUGGCCUGGCCUCCGGAAUAGGUGGAUAGUGCCACGUUAGUACAGGCCUGUGUGAGCUGAGUGCUUGGGCCCCAGCUACUGAAAAUCACUUACCCAGAAGCUGUGCAACAAAAAUCCUCAACACUUUCUCUGAAAUGGGACAUCUGUGACAUAAGCAAAUGGCAAUUUAAACCUGUGAGCAAAUUUCAACAUUUCAGCUCUUCUGAAAUUUUAUUAUUUUACAGCAAACCAAAUUAACGCUGCUAAAGUUAAAUACAAAAAUCUCAUAAUGACCAGCUUGUAUAACCCGUAUUUUUCUUCUUUUUUUUUCCUUUCCAGAAGUGACCAAAUGCAUAGAUUUUCUGGACAGCCCAAAUGGUGUUUUGUUUUUCACUGUGGAGUUUCUGGGCAGCAUAUGUGAGGAUAUGGACCGUUCCUGUUUCUUUGAACACUUUCAUCCUUUGAUUUAAGAUGCUUGUUCAGCAUAGAAAAGAACUCCAGGCUGUAUCCACUACAUGCCAAGAGGAAGGGAGGAUGUUGCUGGUGUGUGGUAUGCAACUGAGUGACUAAGUUACUUUUUCUGUGGAGUGGCAGGAAUGGAAUAAAAGCCCCAUAUUUGGUCUCUCUGUAUCUAUUUAUCUACUGCCCACAGGGGUGAUUCAGCAGAUAUGAAGCUGAUUUGUAGCAAUCAACAUUACGGACUGUAAUAAUGUUGGAUGUGGGAACACAAGGAAGACUACUCAGAGCAGAAGUUGCGAAGCAAGAUAAACAGCAUGAGAAGGCAAGGCUGAGAACCAAGGACAUCUCCAGAAGAAGAGAAAAGCAAAAGGAACAACUCAUGGCUCUGAUUGGAUAAGCGCCUGCAUGGACAGUUAAGGAGUGUUUGUGAAAUGCUUUGUUGACACGUAAAGGCGGGUGGGAAAGUUACAAGAGAAAACUUGUGAAUGUAUAUAAGGGAUGUUAGAACCUGUAAUAAAUGAUUUGGAUUGUUCACAUCUGAGUCCGUGC